rnacentral:lncRNA from 1 species
CCCCGAGGAGGAACGUGGGGGUCCUAGACAUCCUCAAUUUGGUGGUGGGUGCCCCCCAGGAGGACGUGGGGGUCCUAGAGGUCCUCAACUCGGUGGUGGGUGCCCCCCAAAUAGGACGUGGGGGUCCUAGACAUCCUCAAUUUGGUGGUGGGUGCCCCCAAGUAGGACACGGGGGUCCUAGAGGUCCUGCCCCCAGGAGGACAUGGGGGUCCCGGAAGUCCAUGGGGUGCAGGCAAGUACCCCCAAGGAGGACAUGGGGGUCCUAGAUCUCCUCAAUUUGGUGGUGGGUGCCCCCAAAGAGGACAUGGGGGUCCCGGAAGUCCAUGGGGUGCAGCCAGGUGCCUCCACGCAGGACAUGGGGGUCCCAGAAGUCCUUGAUUUGGCGGCACGUGCCCCCAGGGAGGACAUGUGGGUCCCGGAGGUCCUCAAUUCAGUGGUGGGUGCCCCCAAGGAGAACGUGGGGGUCCCAGAAGUCCUUGAUUUGGUGGUGGGUGCCCCCAAGGAGAACGUGGGCGUCCUAGAGGUCCUCGGUUUGGUGGUGGGUGCCCCCAAAGAGGACAUGUGGGUCCCGGAGGUCCUUGAUUUGGUGGUGGGUGCCCCCAAGGAGGACAUGUGGGUCCCAGAGGUCCUCAAUUCAGUGGUGGGAGCCUCCAAGUAGGACAUGUGGGUCCCGGAGGUCCUUGAUUUGGUGGUGGGUGCCCCCAAGGAGGACAUGUGGGUCCCAGAGGUCCUCAAUUUGGUGGUGGGUGACCCCAAGUAGGACGUGGGGGUCCCGGAGGUCCUCGAUUUGGUGGUGGGUGUCCCCAGAAGGACGUGGGGGUCCCGGAGGUCCUCGAUUCGGUCCUGGGUGCCCCCAGGGGGGACGUGGGGGUCCAGGAGGUCCAUGAGCCGGUGCCGGGGGCCCCCAGGGGAGACGCGGGAGGUCUUGGAAGACCCCGAGCAGAUGUUGGGUGGCCCCGACGUGGACUUGGGGGUCCCAGAGCUGCUCGUGAUGCUGUUGGGUGGCCCCGACAUGGACUUGGGGGUCCCAGAGGUGCUCGUGAUGCUGUUGGGUGACCCCAACGUGGAUUUGGGGGUCCCAGAGGUGCUCGUGAUGCUGUUGGGUGGCCCCAGCGUGGACUUGGGGGUCUUGGAGAUCCUCAUGCGGCCAUUGGGUGACCCCAAGGUGGAUUUGGGGGUCUUGGAGGUCCUCACUCAGCCAUUGGGUGACCCCAACGUGGAUUUGGGGGUCCCAGAGGUCUUCAUGCAGCCAUUGGGUGACCCCAACGUGGAUUUGGGGGUCCCGGAGGUCCUCAUGCAGCCAUUGGGUGCCCCCAACGUAGAUCUGGGGGUCCCACAGGUCCUCACUCAGCCAUUGGGUGACCCCAACAUAGAUCUGGGGGUCUUGGAGGUCCUUAUGCAGCCACUGGGUGACCCCAAUACGGACUUAGGGGUCCCACAGGUCCUCACAUGGCCAUUGGGUGACCCCAACAUGGAUUUGGGGGUGCCACAAGUCCUCACGCAACCAUUGGGUGAGCCCAAGGUGGACUUGGGGGUCUUGGAGGUCCUCACGCGGCCAUUGGGUGCCCCCAACGUGGAUUUGGGGGUCUCACAAGUCCUCACACGGCCAUUGGGUGCCCCCAAGGUGGAUCUGGGGGUCCCGGAGGUGCUCGCGCUGCCGUUGGGUGCCCUCAACGAGAAUCUGGGGGUCUUGGAGGUGCUCGUGCCACCAACAGGGCGCCCCCGGGGAGACGUGGGGGUCCCAGAGGUGCUCGCGCCGCUGUUGGGUGCCCUCAAGGUAAAUUUGGGGGUGUCGGAGGUGCUCGCGCCGCCGUUGGGUGCCCUCAACAUAAACUUAGGGGUCCUGGAGAUGCUCACGCCGCCAUUUGGUGGCCCCAAGGCGGGUUUGGGGGUCCCGCAGGUGCUCGCGCCGCCGUCGGGAGUCCCCCACGGGACGUGGGGGGUCCCGUAAGUGCUCACACCAGUCUUGGGUGCCCCCUAAGCGACAUGGAGGUCCCAUAGGUGCUCGUGUUGGCGUCGGGCGCCCCCGGCGCAGGCUGGGGGUCCCGUAAGAGCUCACACCGGUCUUGGGGGCCCCCUAAGUGACACGAGGGUCCCAUAAGAGCUCACACUGGCCUGGGGUGCCCCCUAAGUGACACGGRGGUCCCAUAGGAGCUCAUACUGGUCUUAGGCAGCUCCUAAGUGACAUGGAGGUCCCAUAAGAGCUSGCAUUGGCGUUGGGUGUCCUCCAAGCGACAUGGAGGUCCCAUAAGAGCUCACACCGGUCUUGGGGGCCCCCUAAGCGACACGGAGGUCCCACAGGAGCUCACACAGGUCUUGGGCACCUCCUAGGUGACAUGGGGGUCCCAUAGGAGCUCACGCUGGUCUUGGGUGCCCCCUAAGUAACGUGAAGGACCCAUAAGAGCUCAUAUCGGUCUUGGGUGCUCUCUAAAUGAUGUGGAGGUCCCAUAAGAGCUCAUAUUGGUCUUGGGUAUCUCCUAGGUGACAUGGAGGUCCCAUAGGAGCUCGUGCCAGUUUUGGGCAUCUCUCAGAUGACAUGGGGGUCCCAUAAGAGCUCAUACCGGUCUUGGGCAUCUUCUAACUUACAGGAAGAUCCCAUAAGAGCUCACACCGGUCUUGGGCACCUCUUAGAUGACAUGGAGGUCCCACAGCAGCUCGUGCUGGUUUUGGGCGCCCCUGAGAAGAUCUGCGGGGCCCAUAAGAGCUCACACCGGCAUCGGGGGCCCCCUAAGCGACACGGAGGUCCCAUAAGAGCUCACGCCGGUCUUGGGCACCUCCUAGGUGACACGGGGGUCCCAUAGGAGCUCGUACUAGUUUUGGGUGCCCCCUAACUGACAUGGAGGUCUCAUAAGAGCUCACAUUGGCGUUAGGUGUCCUCCAAGCUACACGGAGGUCCCAUAAAAGCUCAUACCGGUCUUGGGCACCUCCUAGGUGACACAGGGGUCCCAUAA